rnacentral:rRNA from 1 species
GUAGGGGGCAAGCGUUAUCCGGAUUUACUGGGUGUAAAGGGAGCGUAGGCCGUCUGGUAAGCGUGUUGUGAAAUGUCGGGGCUCAACCUGGGCAUUGCAGCGCGAACUGUCAGACUUGAGUGCGCGGGAAGUAGGCGGAAUUCGUCGUGUAGCGGUGAAAUGCUUAGAUAUGACGAAGAACUCCGAUUGCGAAGGCAGCCUGCUGUAGCGCAACUGACGCUGAAGCUCGAAAGCGUGGGUAUCGAACAGGAUUAGAUACCCUGGUAGUCCACGCGGUAAACGAUGGAUGCUCGCUGUUUGCGUCUGACGUAAGCGGCCAAGCGAAAGCGUUAAGCAUCCCACCUGGGGAGUACGCCGGCAACGGUGAAACUCAAAGGA